rnacentral:rRNA from 1 species
UAUCUGUUGCGGGCGUAAGAGAUUUGAAGGGAGCUGUCCUUAGUACGAGAGGACCGGGAUGGACGUACCUCUGGUGCACCAGUUGUUCUGCCAAGGGCACAGCUGGGUAGCUAUGUACGGACGAGAUAAACGCUGAAAGCAUCUAAGCGUGAAACUCCCCCUAAGAUGAGAUCUCUCAUCCUUUAAGGAGUAAGGACCCAGAAAGACGAUCUGGUUGAUAGGCCGAAGGUGGAAGCGCAGUAAUGCGUGUAGCUGAUCGGUACUAAUAGUCCGAGGGCUUGACCUA